UUAACACCAUUAAUUUGGGCUUUAAUAGGGACUGAGAGUGGCUGGCUCACUACAAAAGCAGCUUUGCCUCUCCUGGAAUUGACACCUCCUCAUCAGUUAUUGGGAGUGAACUACAUCCACCCUGAUUGUAUUGGCCCUGUCAACAGUGAUUCUCCACUUGUGGGGUAACUCCCUUCUCUUCAUGUGUCAAUAUAAUAAUGCCUGCAUCUGUAAUUUUCACUCCAUGCAUCUGAAAAAGAGGGGUCUGUAGCUCACGAAAGCUUAUGCUCAAAUAAAUUUG